UCUCCUUCAUCAUUCAAUCAAUUUCACCUCUGAUCAUUACGCCACAAUCACCUUCGUCUGUAUAAUCAAAUCAUCACCACUAAUCAUUUUACUCUUCGCAACCUGUCUUUUCUUCCACCGUUGCGAAUCACUUUGUUCAUUUCCUCCCAUUGCUCUUCUUUUCUUCCAGCUAUCAGUCUCUUCUCUUCUUCGGGCUAUCGUAAAUAUAAUACAAGAUGCAUGUGAGGACACGUCGGAUGACAGGUCAUUAAGUCAUUCGCUGUGGAGACGACACGUGUAUCUACGGACAGAACACAACGCUUCUUCGUUUGUCAUUUGGGCUGUUUCUUCGUUAUGUCUACGUACAAUCCUAUUGGGCUUAGGUCAAGGGAGUGAUUCGGCCCAGUCAACUAUAUUCUGCGUUAACCCUAAUUUUUUUUUUGUCAAAAAAAUGUUCAUCCCUUCUCUCCCUUAUUCGGCGACGAUGACUGUGGAACUUCCUCAACGUCCAUGAAACGGAUCUGUGAUUAAUCCCAUCGAUUGAGACUCCCACUACGAGUUCUUCAAUGUGUUGUUUGCGUUGGCUGGAUCUGUGAGGUCGGGUAUGAAUUGCAAGUGUUCUGCUGCGAUUCUGGGAAGCUCAAGCGCUCAUGUGGCUUGAUAUGCUGAUGGUGGACGUUAAUGUAAGUAUUCUUUCCAGAUCCUGACUUAUUAUUUUCCGGUGAACCUGUGGUUUCCGGUGAAACUCAUCCUGAUAAUCAUCAUUGAUUUUGAUUUUCUGUUAAUUUGCUCUAAUAUUUAUUUUCGGGUGAACUUCCUUCCAUCUGUAAAUCGACCAUAAGGGUUGCUCGAUCUCUCACCUGAAUAAGGUUUCUGGUUCGGUAACCAGACGGAGCUGUUCGAUUUAGCUAACACAAGCACUCAUCUACCAGACGUCACAGGAGGAAUCAUUGGUGUGCAAAGUACUGUUAGUGAUCCUCCGGAAGAAAAGAAUCGUGUCAUGGUGUCAUGGUGACUAUAAAACUAGAUAGUGAUGAAACUGUCACCGUAAGCUUAUUUGACUCCCAGUUGUUUCUUUUCACAAAGAGCUUGAAGCCAUGCGUGUUGAUCCGAAGGUCAUUGUUGGUUGUACUGAUAUUGGAGGUUGUUUGUUCCUCAAUGCAACGUCAGGAACACAUGUGUAAUUUGAUAAGAAGACGAAUGCAGGGGAAGUCCGAUUCUACUAGGACACUGGUCUACCAUCAGCCGCCCCACUGCUAAGAUCAUAUGCGAAGGUUGAGACAAUGACAAUGGCUGAGCUCAACGCUUUUGUCGUCAAUGCUGCAUCGCAGGAAAUUGAUUUCCUGCGCAUUGGGAGGUUUGUUCGCCUUGACAAAGAUAAGGGGUGGUGUUAUGCUGCAUGCUCUAAAUGCAGUAAAAAGUUGCAGCGCACUGCCUCUGCUUUUACGUGUGCGCGAUGCAAUAAUUUGCAUGCUGUUGGAGCCCUUCGAUGCUCAAAACAGUGGGACAAGAUGAACUCAAGGCUUCUUCUCGGUUGCUAUCUUUCUUUGUGGAUCACCUUAAUAAUAUGUUUGUAGUGUUGGACACAAAUAGUUUGAUUCUCUGUUGAAAAUGUUACAUUGUUCAUCUAACUUGAUAUUGAAAAAAAGUUCUCUGUUA